CCUGCGCGUGGUGGUGCCGUUCCCCAAAACGCGCCGAGGGUUCCCGGUGAAGACUCUGGUGCCUUAUUUCUGAUUUCCAAGUAAAAGGAAAUUAAAAAUUGCUUACUGAGCAGCAGUGUGGUUUGGGAGCAGGACCCUGGAGCCAGAAAUCCCAGCUCUGCCACGGGCCCGCUGUGUGACUCCCAGCAAGCUGCUUCAGGCUCCCUGUGCCAGCGUCCUCCGUCAAAGGGGACAAAACAUGAGAGAGGUCAUGUCGGUGCUGUGCCACGUGCAUCUGCAGCGACUGCUGGUCCCUCUUCGUCCCCAAAGGAGCUCUCAGGAUCUGGUAGAGGUCAGGCAUGGAUAUGCAGGCUGCCACCACGCGGUGAAGGUCGUGGGGGAGAGUGGCUUCAUAUGUGCUGCCGAGGAUGUCGGGCUUGAACUCGAGGCUGCAGGACAGAUAGCCCAUCUAAGGCUGCAGGACAGACAGACAGCCUGUCUGAGGUUGGAGCAGCGCUUAGUGAGAGGGUGGUGGAGCUGCACCAGCAUGCAGGGUGGAGGCUGGAUGGAAGAUGGACCUGGGGGCCAGAAAGAUUCUUCCACUUGUCAGCCUGCGAAAUUGCAAGAAUGUGGACUAUGGUGAAGGCUAUGAGGGUCGAGGUGAAGAUCUGGUCUGAGAAAGGCUUGGGAGGUGGAACUGGGUGACUGUGAGGUCAGGAAGGUGAAUACAGGGGUGAGGAAGUCACAUGGCCUCAGAGUUGUUCCCAGAGUCAGUGAGUAAAGCAGAAAGCAUCUAGGCAGAAUCACCCCCACGUGCCCAGCCAGUGUCUCCCAUGGAGCGAUGGGCCCACUGCCCAGCUCCUCCCGGGGCUGCCCCCCUGCCACUCCAGCCCCGAGAGCUCACGUUCAUACACCAGGGUCACACGAGGGACAGGGGUUCCCACGCUGUGCAUCUCAGGGACCCUCACACCCUCACAGACAAUUGAGGAUCCCAAAGAGUGAGAGUGUGUCGGGGGGGAGGCUCCCAUCUAUUUUCACGUGCUUCAGAAGUUAAAUGUGCUAUGUUUCUUAAAGAUUUUGUUUAU